UAAUACGAAGGUGGCAAGCGUUGUUCGGAUUUACUGGGCGUACAGGGAGCGUAGGUGGUUAGGUAAGCCUCUCGGGAAAUCUCCAGGCUCAACCUGGAAAGGUCGAGAGGGACUGCCUAGCUAGAGGACGGGAGAGGAGCGCGGAAUUCCCGGUGUAGCGGUGAAAUGCGUAGAGAUCGGGAGGAAGGCCGGUGGCGAAGGCGGCGCUCUGGAACGUCCCUGACACUGAGGCUCGAAAGCGUGGGGAGCAAACAGGAUUAGAUACCCUGGUAGUCCACGCCCUAAACGAUGGACACUAAGUGUCGGCGGGUUACCGUCGGUGCCGCAGCUAACGCAGUAAGUGUCCCGCCUGGGGAGUACGGCCGCAAGGUUG
rnacentral:rRNA from 1 species